UGAGGAGGAGCCAAUGCAAAACUCAGAUGUCUUCCAUCUCUACUUAUCUGACUGCAGAGAGGAUGACAGAGAACAGUGGACACACAGUUUAACAUGAUGGACUAUAGGACAGGACUGCUGCUUUUAACUAUCUGCUGGGCAGGUGUUGAUGGUCAGACUCUGACAGAAUCUGAACCAGCGAUUAAAAGGCCUGGAGAAUCUCACAGAUUGACCUGUACAGCCUCUGGAUUCACAUUCAGUGACUAUGGGAUGGUCUGGAUAAGACAGGCUCCUGGAAAAGGACUGGAGUGGAUUGCUUAUAUUAGUGGUGAUAGCUACAUCCACUACUCUCAGUCAGUCAAGUGCUGGUUUACUAUCUCCAGAGACGACAGCAGACAGCAGCUGUAUCUGCAGAUGAACAGUCUGAAGACUGAAGAUUCUGCUGUUUAUUAUUGUGCUCAAUAG